rnacentral:rRNA from 1 species
UACGGGGGGGCAAGCGUUGUUCGGAAUUACUGGGCGUAAAGGGCUCGUAGGUGGCCAACUAAGUCAGACGUGAAAUCCCUCGGCUUAACCGGGGAACUGCGUCUGAUACUGGAUGGCUUGAGUUUGGGAGAGGGACGCGGAAUUCCAGGUGUAGCGGUGAAAUGCGUAGAUAUCUGGAGGAACACCGGUGGCGAAGGCGGCAUCCUGGACCAAUAUUGACGCUGAGGAGCGAAAGCCAGGGGAGCAAAGCGGG